CCUACGGGAGGCAGCAGUGGGGAAUAUUGCACAAUGGGGGAAACCCUGAUGCAGCGACGCCGCGUGAGUGAGGAAGUAUUUCGGUAUGUAAAGCUCUAUCAGCAGGGAAGAAAAUGACGGUACCUGACUAAGAAGCACCGGCUAACUACGUGCCAGCAGCCGCGGUAAUACGUAGGGGGCAAGCGUUAUACGGAUUUACUGGGUGUAAAGGGAGCGUAGACGGGUAAGCAAGUCAGAUGUGAAAACCUAGGGCUUAACUUUGGGACUGCUUUUGAAACUGAGUAUCUAGAGUGUAGGAGAGGUAGGCUGAAUUCUUAGUGUAGCGGGGAAAUGCGUAGAGAUUAGGAGGAAUACCCGUGGCGAAGGCGGCUUACUGGACUGUAACUGACGUUGAGGCUCGAAAGCGUGGGGAGCAAACAGGAUUAGAUACCCCUGUAGUC
rnacentral:rRNA from 1 species